AUCUUUUUCACAACUAAUUUCCAAUGCAAUGUCCCUACCAUUGUAAACGACGAUGCAUACAGAAUCUUCAAGAACACAUAUUAUUUUAAAGAGGCGUGAAGAGCUAAUCAUUUGUACUUUAUUUAUAGAUGGCAGAAAUAGCCGGAUCGACAUCCAGAGAGGAAAUCCUGAAGGAAAGUGGGCCUCCCGCCAUACUUGGACAAGGUCCCAAUGUGUGGAUAAUAGGGAGCAGCUACGUUAGACGUGGGGAAGAAAGAGCCAGACACACCAUGGGAAGCAACCUGGGUCUCAAUUGCCGUGUGUGGUGGUUUGGCAAGGGUGGUCUGAGUCCCCCUGUUUUGUUUCUCUCUUUCCCUCACUCAUCUUCCCCAGCCUCACCAGCCUCACCCAGACGACGAGACGGCGUACAGAGAGGAGGUCGAAAACCUGACAUCUUGGUGCCAGGAUAACAACCUCCAUCUCAACGUCAGCAAAACCAAGGAGCUGAUUGUGGAUUGCAGGAAGCAGCAAAGAGAGGGACACGCCCCCCAUCGCCAUCAAUGGGACUACGGUAGAGAGAGUCAGCAGCUGCAGGUUCCUCAGUGUCCAUCACGGACACGGCUGCAUCACGGCCUGUUACGGCAGCUGCACCGCCCUCAAUCGUAAGGCUUUCCAAAGGGUAGUGAAAACUGCACAGAACAUCACCAGGGCGGAGCUGCCAUCCAUGGAGGACCUUUACUCCCAGCGGCUCAGGAAGAAAGCCCUCAGUUUAUGUUUAUGUUUAUUUUAGAAAUGUUUUGGCACAUUUGUUCCAAUUCUGCUAAUGGUAUA